GGCAGGUCGAGAAGGAAACAGUUACAUUUUUACGUUAGUUUUUAUGUUACUUAGGUACCUAUAUUUUGCAAACCGAUACUGAUUCUUAAACUUAUAUUUUUGCGGUUUUCAUUAUUCGAUUUAGAUAUGUGCAGCAGCUGCUGCCUAAUCGUGCCUACUUAGUAACUUGCAUUAUUUUUCUAGAUAAAUGGUUAAAACUGAGAAUUUGAGGGGAAACUGGUUUAUGCCUACGACUGAUACGACUGAUUGUUGAUUACAUAAAGGAAAGGCAUGAUUUGUAGAGCUACUUAAGAUUAUUCUUUCAAGUGUCAGUUAUCUUUAUGCAAGGAGUCAAUUCGUAUUGUACCUAUCUAAUAAUUGCUCAAACUAUCUGCAGGCAAAACAAAGCACUAAAUUAAAUGUAGGUACUCAUCAGUACCUAAUUGUUUCUUUUCCUGCCCCUCCUGGUCCAGAUAAUGAACGAAGAGAAAAAAAAAAUAGCCUCAGAACCUAUAGGUAGCAUGACAUCAUAUUUCUGUAUUUGUGUUUCGCAGUGUCUUGCUCUCACCCGUUUCUUGCAGCCCCAGCAGGGUCCGGUAUGAGAGCGGCCGCCAUCUUGCUCUGCCUUCUAUCGGCGGCAGCGGCGGCACCGUUCGGCUUUCUGCGACCCAAUCAGGCCACGGGCUCGGCGCAGGGGACGCUGACCUCUGGCAGCCAGCAAUUCCCUGGCGGCGGCAGCUCGCAGAUCGUUCAACAAUCGUCCGUCGCAGGGGGUUCUACGCAAGGCCUCGCUCAGAGUCAAAACCAGGCGUUCACUAGUCACCAGAGCUCGUCGGGUUUCUUCGGACAACAGUCGGCUUCAAAUACCGGCGCAGUGUCUAACCAACAGACCGGUUCCAAUUUCGGAUACCCCUUCCAGGGAAACUUCGGAUAAAAUUAGCGUAAUGAUUUACAAUAUAUCACUGUGUUGUUAAUAUUGUAUUUUUGUUUGUUUUGCACCUAAGCUUAAGAGUGUCCGUGGGUGUUAUUAGUUUGUUGACUGGUUGCAUGCACGGAAUACGAGCUGGCUGAAAGGAGUGACGAAAUUGAAAUUUUGUGAAUUGUGAUGUAUUGUGAUAGCUUGUCUUCGAUAUAGUUUGUUUCUUCAACCAAGGAAGAUCGGGUAGUGGAUACCUUCGUUAGAUUGUUAUGGGUGUGUAAUGAAUGCCUAAACGAGAAUAGCUGAAGCUCUUCAUACUGUAAUUUUUGUGUGUAGUUCCGAGAUGUUUUCAGGUACGCUUGGAAGACUUUUAUGUAGCCUUUGAAGUUUACAUGUUUAGUUAUUUUGUAAUUUUAGAUAAGGGCAGAAAUGCCACUGCAAAUACAAAAGGUACAUAAUA